GGAUCCACACUUUGAUUAUGGCUCAGGACGAACGCUGGCGGCGCGCCUAACACAUGCAAGUCGAACGAGAGAGAGGGAGCUUGCUUCCUCAAUCGAGUGGCGAACGGGUGAGUAACGCGUGAGGAACCUGCCUCAAAGAGGGGGACAACAGUUGGAAACGACUGCUAAUACCGCAUAAGCCCACGGCUCGGCAUCGAGCAGAGGGAAAAGGAGCAAUCCGCUUUGAGAUGGCCUCGCGUCCGAUUAGCUAGUUGGUGAGGUAAUGGCCCACCAAGGCGACGAUCGGUAGCCGGACUGAGAGGUUGAACGGCCACAUUGGGACUGAGACACGGCCCAGACUCCUACGGGAGGCAGCAGUGGGGAAUAUUGCACAAUGGGGGAAACCCUGAUGCAGCGACGCCGCGUGGAGGAAGAAGGUCUUCGGAUUGUAAACUCCUGUUGUUGAGGAAGAUAAUGACGGUACUCAACAAGGAAGUGACGGCUAACUACGUGCCAGCAGCCGCGGUAAAACGUAGGUCACAAGCGUUGUCCGGAAUUACUGGGUGUAAAGGGAGCGCAGGCGGGCGAUCAAGUUGGAAGUGAAAUCCAUGGGCUCAACCCAUGAACUGCUUUCAAAACUGAUUGUCUUGAGUAGUGCAGAGGUAGGCGGAAUUCCCGGUGUAGCGGUGGAAUGCGUAGAUAUCGGGAGGAACACCAGUGGCGAAGGCGGCCUACUGGGCACCAACUGACGCUGAGGCUCGAAAGUGUGGGUAGCAAACAGGAUUAGAUACCCUGGUAGUCCACACCGUAAACGAUGAUUACUAGGUGUUGGAGGAUUGACCCCUUCAGUGCCGCAGUUA
rnacentral:rRNA from 1 species